rnacentral:rRNA from 1 species
CAGUCGCCACGGUAAUACGAAGGGGGCUAGCGUUGCUCGGAAUCACUGGGCGUAAAGGGUGCGUAGGCGGGUCUUUAAGUCAGGGGUGAAAUCCUGGAGCUCAACUCCAGAACUGCCUUUGAUACUGAAGAUCUUGGGUUCGGGAGAGGUGAGUGGAACUGCGAGUGUAGAGGUGAAAUUCGUAGAUAUUCGGAGGAACACCAGUGGCGAAGGCGGCUCACUGAUCCAUUACUGACGCUGAGGUGCGAAAGCGUGGGGAGCAAACAGGAUUAGAUACCCCCGUAGUCCCUGUCUCUUAUAC